AGAUGGAAUAUUUUGUGGGAACUGAAGGGCUAAACUUCUAGGAAACAGGGAAGAAAUGGAAGCAUUGGAUAGCAGGCUUUUAUUCCUUUAUUGCCUUCCCCCUUCUUCUCUAUCCACCAAACCCUUUAGGCACAUUAGAUACCUGUCAGCCCCAGACACAGAAUUCCUCACCUCAGAACUGUUGAGUUUCGGAUCAUCCACUUUAGAAAGAAAAUCACUAGCAGUUUUCUUAAGGUCAUCUUCAGGUUGAUAUUCCUCAUACCAUUUAUCUGCCAAUGACUGGUCUUCUGAUUCCC
rnacentral:lncRNA from 1 species